AAGAUCAGCAACAAGGAGAUGACGGCACUGGACCAGAGGCUUGGGGCACUCCGGGAGGCUCUGCAGGACAAGGCCAAGGAAGCAAAGAGUGGCCAGGCUGUGAGACCGAGGCACAGAGAGCCAAGACGGCCGAGGGUUUAUCAAGACUGACACCAACGUGACGGUCAAAGUGUUAGAGCACCCAGCUUAGGGAGAGGGUGCAGGCACCUUGCCAAAUGCCUCGUUAGGCUUCUGGGAGAUGCUGCCGUUGCUGCCACACACUCUAGGGACUGCCAGAACCAUAACAAUACUGCCGGGAGGGUCAUCGGGAAGGCGUGUUCACCUGCUGCCAGAUGUGCUCCACCUCAAGUGUGCCGGCAUAAAGGAGCCGGAGGAGGAGGGGAGUGCCAUGCCGUCAUACAGGAAGAGAACACGGAGAACAGCUCUGAAAAAUGAAGAAAGGAAGGAAGGACGGAAGGAAGAUAAUCUCAGAAGACCCAUACAGUCCAUUACAUGUCUUUCAUGUUAUGUUAUUACAUUCCUGUACUCCCAAAGCCCGGUCUGGGGCCACAGCACUCACAAGGUCCAGAUGCAGACUGCGGCCACCACUUGAGCAGCCCGGCUGCUGUACACCAAUCCUUAUUUAGUUGUGUUCUUGUAGAGUUAAAUCCAGACAUCCCAUAUCCUUAGGCCAGGUCAAAAGUAAAGUUUGGUGUGCAUGGCCUCAGUGCUCAUCUCUGUUACAUUGCCCCUGGAGGCUGUGGAGGCAGGAGCCCAGCACCCUGGGACACACUCAGACUACCACAGGUGCCUCCCCAGGGGUCUCCAGGUACACAUGAUCACCCAGACACAAAGGAUGACCUGCAUACUAACUGCCCAAGCCGGGAUUCAAACCAUGGCCAGCAAAUUUGUAGGUAGGCAUGCCAGCCACAGCACCAUGGAGCCAUGUAUUAUACUAGUACUUGGCACUGGUAUCCUAUGCUAUUUAUUCCUAGCUAGUUGGACACCAGAGAUUUCCUGUAUUAAUUUCAUGGGUUUUAUGUUAUAUAUUUGUUUAUUAGGUGUAUCUUUUUAUUAGUUUUUAUCAUGAUUUUUAUUGUUAUUUAGUGAAGCAGCUCAAGGAAAACUGUUGUUGUUCUGGAUGUUUUCUUCCUCUCUCUCUUGUCAUCAUUUUAGCUCCCGUCCUCUCUCAUCUCGCUUCUCUUCUUCCUUCUCUCUCUCUCUUUCUCGAAACUCACUUGAAUGUAAUACAAAACACACUUUGCAAAUUGAUAUUUUUAUUGCUGAACACAAACACACACACAUACACAUAGUGACAUAAGGAAGGUCAUGUGGCUAUGUAGGGGGGCGGGUCAGGGCAGGGUCCAUUAUGUGUCUGGGGGAGGGCAUGUGUCUGUGGGAUGUUAUCAACUUCCUGUGGGUGACAUCCUGUGUGGCCUGUGAGCUGAGAGAGAGAGAGAGAGAGAGAGAGAGAGAGAGAGAGAGAGAGAGAGAGAGAGAGAGAGAGAGAGAGAGAGAGAGAGAGAGAGAGAGAGAGA